rnacentral:rRNA from 1 species
GAUGAACGCUGGCGGCGUGCCUAAUACAUGCAAGUCGAGCGAACAGACGAGGAGCUUGCUCCUCUGACGUUAGCGGCGGACGGGUGAGUAACACGUGGAUAACCUACCUAUAAGACUGGGAUAACUUCGGGAAACCGGAGCUAAUACCGGAUAAUAUAUUGAACCGCAUGGUUCAAUAGUGAAAGACGGUUUUGCUGUCACUUAUAGAUGGAUCCGCGCCGCAUUAGCUAGUUGGUAAGGUAACGGCUUACCAAGGCAACGAUGCGUAGCCGACCUGAGAGGGGGAUCGGCCACACUGGAACUGAGACACGGUCCAGACUCCUACGGGAGGCAGCAGUAGGGAAUCUUCCGCAAUGGGCGAAAGCUUGACGGAGCAACGCCGCGUGAGUGAUGAAGGUCUUCGGAUCGUAAAACUCUGUUAUUAGGGAAGAACAAAUGUGUAAGUAACUAUGCACGUCUUGACGGUACCUAAUCAGAAAGCCACGGCGAACUACGU